UUUCUCCCCCUUGCACUGAUUUAGCUCCACAGUUGACACAGGCACUGGCGCUUACUCUAAGAGUCAGUCCUUGGAGCACAGGGGUUAGCUGUCAUUUGCAAACUCACCACCUACUGGAAGCAAAGCUAGAAGACGGGGCUGCCAAAGCCAACCACUGCAACCUGUGGCAGGCUUCCCUGCCCAGGCUCUCCCACUGCCCUUGGAGUGAGACCCCUCCCCCUCAAUCCUGCACAGCGACGUGGCUGGCUGGAGCUUUCCCCGCACCUGUCGCACCUCCUGGUUUUGGCAGAAUGAAGUGAGGAGACAGCUGGAGUCAUUAUAGUUCAUCUGUUUGAAGGUUGCCCAAAUGAAAAACAAACAAACAAAUCUGGUGAGUUUCGUGUUUCUUUUAAGUGUACAGAAAUGCAGCUGCUAAGUUGUGUAGGAGAUCAAAGGAGCCUUUUAAAUUCAAGACACCAAAGUGUUCUUGCUGGUUUGAUCCUUGGUGGAGAUUUGUUAGCAAACUUUAGAAGGAAGUUACAAAAGAGGAUUAGGUGUAUUAAACUUGUCUGAGCUGUGGAAAGUUCUUUGUAAAGCUCAUUGUGUGUUCAUUGCAGAUUUCUGUGGAGAAUGUGAUAGUGUAGUGAGCCCAGAGGUUGUGUUUUGGGUGAU
rnacentral:lncRNA from 1 species